rfam:Klebsiella phage vB_KpnM_KB57, complete genome.
GCGUCCUUGGUCCAAUCUGGCAGAGGCAUGGGUGUUAAGCCCCCAGGGUUCCCGGUUCGAGUCCGGGAGGGCGCA